CUGACGUAAGAGGGAAGGAUUGCGCUAUGCCGGAAGAGGUUAUCUCAGGUUGAUGCUCCUGGCCUUGGUGUUGGCGGAGGCGACCGCUCGGCCGCAGUUUCCAGGAGGACCCAACGAGCCGAAACCAGUGAAAGAACCGCCCAGACCCUGCCUGUGCCGCAUCCCGCCGUGCCCCUGCGAGAAGCACUUCCCAGGGUCGCUCGCGUCAGUGUUGGCGGCACCGAGUUCGCUCGGGUCGGCGGCGUUCAUUCAAAAGCCAUGAGGGGGGGGGGGUGUAGUGCUUUCAUGAUCAAUAAUCUGUUCAGUUCGUUUUGGAUGGUGUACUUCCAUUAUUCUAAAAAUACACAUUCCAAACAGG